rnacentral:rRNA from 1 species
GACGAACGCUGGCGGCGUGCUUAACACAUGCAAGUGGAGCGACGAACCGGGCUUCGGCCCGGGGCAGAGCCGCGAACGGGUGAGUAACACGUGGGUGACCUGCCCUGAUGACCGGGACAACCCGAGGAAACUCGGGCUAAUACCGGAUGUGCUCCCAGCCAUAGCCGGCUGGGUGGAAAGGUAGCUUCGGCUUCCGCGUCAGGAUGGGCCCGCGGCGCAUUAGCUUGUUGGUGGGGUAAUGGCCUACCAAGGCGACGAUGCGUAGCUGGUCUGAGAGGACGAUCAGCCACACUGGGACUGAGACACGGCCCAGACUCCUACGGGAGGCAGCAGUGGGGAAUCUUGCGCAAUGCGCGAAAGCGUGGCGCAGCAACGCCGCGUGGGGGAAGAAGGCCUUCGGGUUGUAAACCUCUUUCAGUUGGGACGAAGGUUCGGCGGUGAAUAGCCGUCCGGACUGACGGUACCUUCACAAGAAGCCCCGGCUAACUACGUGCCAGCAGCCGCAGUAAUAC